rnacentral:lncRNA from 1 species
GACAAGGUUUUCCAAGCAAGAUGAAGCCCAACAUCAUCUUUGUACUUUCCCUGCUCCUCAUCUUGGAGAAGCAAGCAGCUGUGAUGGGACAAAAAGUGGAUCAAAAGGCCGAUUACCAAGUGAAUUUUCCCAAUUUCCACACGGACAAAAGGGCCAGCACUAUUCUGGACAAAAAGGCAAGCAACAAACUGAAUCCAAAGGCAGUUUUUCUAUUCAAUACACAUAUCAUGUAGAUGCCAAUGAUCAUGACCAGUCCCGAAAAAGUCAGCAAUAUGAUUUGAAUGCCCUACAUAAGACGACAAAAUCACAACGACAUCUAGGUGGAAGUCAACAACUGCUCCAUAAUAAACAAGAAGGCAGAGACCAUGAUAAAUCAAAAGGUCAUUUUCACAGGGUAGUUAUACACCAUAAAGGAGGCAAAGCUCAUCGUGGGACACAAAAUCCUUCUCAAGAUCAGGGGAAUAGCCCAUCUGGAAAGGGAAUAUCCAGUCAAUAUUCAAACACAGAAGAAAGGCUGUGGGUUCAUGGACUAAGUAAAGAACAAACUUCCGUCUCUGGUGCACAAAAAGGUAGAAAACAAGGCGGAUCCCAAAGCAGUUAUGUUCUCCAAACUGAAGAGCUAGUAGCUAACAAACAACAACGUGAGACUAAAAAUUCUCAUCAAAAUAAAGGGCAUUACCAAAAUGUGGUUGAAGUGAGAGAGGAACAUUCAAGUAAAGUACAAACCUCACUCUGUCCUGCGCACCAAGACAAACUCCAACAUGGAUCCAAAGACAUUUUUUCUACCCAAGAUGAGCUCCUAGUAUAUAACAAGAAUCAACACCAGACAAAAAAUCUCAAUCAAGAUCAACAGCAUGGCCGAAAGGCAAAUAAAAUAUCAUACCAAUCUUCAAGUACAGAAGAAAGACGACUCCACUAUGGAGAAAAUGGUGUGCAGAAAGAUGUAUCCCAAAGCAGUAUUUAUAGCCAAACUGAAGAGAAAGCACAGGGCAAGUCU